AUUGAACGCUGGCGGCAGGCUUAACACAUGCAAUUCGAACGAGUGGCGGACGUGUGAGUAAUGCCUGGGACUCUAGCUUAUGGAGGGGGAUAACUACGGGAAACUGUAGCUAAUACCGCGUACCAUAGGAUGAGCCCAAGUGGGAUUAGGUAGUUGGUGAGGUAAAGGUUCACCAAGCCGACGAUCUCUAGCUGGUCUGAGAGGAUGACCAGCAACACGGGGACUGAGACACGGCCCAGACUCCUACGGGAGGCAGCAGUGGGGAAUAUUGCACAAUGGGGGCAACCUGACGCAGCCAUGCCGCGUGAAUGAAGAAGGCCUUCGGGUUGUAAAGGUCUUUCGGUAGCGAGGCGUUAACUACAGAGGAAGCACCGGCUAUCACCGUGCGAGCAGCCGCGGUAAUUC
rnacentral:rRNA from 1 species